GGCUUUGAAGUGUGGACGCCAGUCUGCAUGGAGCCGACCUUGAAAUACCACCCUUUAAUGUUUGAUGUUCUAACGUGGACCCGUUACCCGGGUUGCGGACAGUGUCUGGUGGGUAGUUUGACUGGGGCGGUCUCCUCCUAAAGAGUAACGGAGGAGCACGAAGGUUGGCUAAUCCUGGUCGGACAUCAGGAGGUUAGUGCAAUGGCAUAAGCCAGCUUGACUGCGAGCGUGACGGCGCGAGCAGGUGCGAAAGCAGGUCAUAGUGAUCCGGUGGUUCUGAAUGGAAGGGCCAUCGCUCAACGGAUAAAAGGUACUCCGGGGAUAACAGGCUGAUACCGCCCAAGAGUUCAUAUCGACGGCGGUGUUUGGCACCUCGAUGUCGGCUCAUCACAUCCUGGGGCUGAAGUAGGUCCCAAGGGUAUGGCUGUUCGCCAUUUAAAGUGGUACGCGAGCUGGGUUUAGAACGUCGUGAGACAGUUCGGUCCCUAUCUGCCGUGGGCGCUGGAGAACUGAGGGGGGCUGCUCCUAGUACGAGAGGACCGGAGUGGACGCAUCACUGGUGUUCGGGUUGUCAUGCCAAUGGCACUGCCCGGUAGCUAAAUGCGGAAGAGAUAAGUGCUGAAAGCAUCUAAGCACGAAACUUGCCCCGA
rnacentral:rRNA from 1 species